rnacentral:sRNA from 1 species
GUUUUUUUUUUUUUUUUACCCGAUCAUCUGUGCUCAGAUUUCUUCUCAUGUCUGUGUUGGCCAGAGCUGGUGUUGUAUGGACCCCACCCCCACCCCUUCCCGUUCAGUUCAUGGAAGGAGUUUCUGCCUUCCAGGUUUGUAGCUGGUAGCAGUCCAGUCUCUUGUUGACAGGUACCAGCUAGGAGCUGUGUCUUACCAGAUGCCUGACCCCUCCCCUGUGGCCUCUUUGUAUAGGCUGAAUCCAGCUACUCUGUGUCCCAGCUCUGUAUUUCCCAGCUACAGGUAGAAGCACAACCUUCCCCCACGUCAAGGUCGGGUCUGGCCUGUAACAUGCGCUCCAAGCCCAGAAGAGCUGCUUUUCUAUUCCACAGGUUUUUGUUGUUUUGUUUGGAAAUAUCCACCUUUGGUACUGCCUCUCUGUGGUUUCCCAGUCCCUGGCUAAGGAAUCACCUUCCACCAGUUCUUAGGCUCUAGGCUUAGAUUUCUAGCCCCACAUUGGGCACCAAAUACAAAGUAAAUCUUUGGAGCAUUUUCUAUGUCCCUUUGAUCCCAAACGACAGCAGGGCAUUUUUACACCUGUUCUAGAGAUCUGGUAUUUUUAUUAACAGGAUGCAAGCACGAAGCUAGGUAGAUAUUGAUCUACCCUAACCCUCUAUGACAGUCUACUGCCGAGACACAUGGUCCUUUAUUUGCGUCCGAGUCUUGCCUUGGCUCUUCUGUCUGUGUCCUAUGGCUCCUGACAACCUCACGGCAGAUCCUGCCAAUCCAGCCUCACGUUCUUUCCACUGUUCCCUCCCCCUUUUGCUAAUAGGCUACCAGCUUUUUAUUGACAGGUGAUGCUUCCACACAGUCCACAAGAGGUUAUCCCUACACCAAGGCCCAUGCCCUGUGUGUCAUGAGCUCUUUUCUCUACACGGUGACAACAUAAACAGUCCCAGGCCUGGAGCAGCCUCCAGGGACACGCAGCCUCCAUCCCACUCCGUGGUUGCUUCCCUAACCUCCUGCAGUCUCUCCCACAAGUGAAGGUCAUGGCCAAUCUGUGUAGUCCAGGCUUGUUCUCUCCCAUGCUCUUCUGCCCUGCUGGGUUCUGUCCUUCCUACAUCUGCUUAGCAGUGCCCUGAUGUCGGGCAAGAGCCCUCGCGUGCAGCAGAGGGCAGCUGUCAGCUCACAUGUCCUCUCAAGGGGAUCACAGUCCUUCUUUGCUGUUGCCUCAUAUCCGAAAGCUGUUGUUUUGUGCAUCUUUUCCCAGUUGAAGUUCCAGAUGAUCCAAUGGCCUCUUCUACUCUCCACUGGCACCAGGGAUGCACGGAGCGCAUGCGACCACUGAUACGCAUAACUGGAAUAAAAGCAAACAUCUGCUUGCUGCUUCCUUGUUUUGGGUGCCACCUGGUGGCGACAUCUGAAUUCACUUUUCUUAAAAGACCAUAUCAUUAUGCAGCCCUCAAACGCAGAGAUCCCUUCCUCCCAGGUUCUUGGAUCAAAGGCAUAUGCCACCAUACCUGCUGCCUUUAGUGUGAGCCCAGAGACCCCUUGUGUCAAGGAGACGUUUACCCAACACCAUCCUCAGAGAAGAGGGCCAAGGCUGCAGACGCUGGUGUGCUGCCACGUGGAGGAAUGAUUUAUUAGAACAAAUCCCAUGACAAAUCAUAUAAAAUAACCGUUUUCGAAAAGACAUCCACAAGACCGCCUGAGAACAAUGUACAGAGGCCUUCAGGAGCCAGGCAGGCACAGUACCAAUGCCAGGGUGAAGGCUAAAGUGACAGAGGAACUAAGUGUGUAGAGGACACCAUUUUGUGCAUUUAAAAAAAAAAUUACACAGUGAUGACCAGGGGUGGGAGGCAUGGACUCUGCAGGACAGCCGUUUACUUAUGGAGAGCAGGCUGUGGGCAAUGUGUGGGACAUGCAAGGCAGCAGCCAACGGGCUGGGCUGGCACCUCCUCCAGACAGAUAGCAGGCUACACACACACACACACACACACACACACACACACACAC